UGCAAGUAAGAAUAACAGAAAUAACUCUCACUGUGCUCCACAAGGAAACCCAAGUGCUUUGAUGCCUUGCACUAAACAGAAAGACGGUACUACUAAUCUUUCCUCUGAGAAAGGAUGCUCACAAAGUCCCAUGCACAACCAGGGAGUGGACCAGUAUCCAAACCAAGGAGAAGAAGAGAUUCAGCAGGAAGCUGGAUGUGAUCAGCUGACAAUGCAUACCUCACAGUAUCAUCGAGAGGCAUAAGUGACUUUCAGGUGUUGACACAAUGCCUGGCAGUAUCUCCAACAAGCCUUACAUAUGUGUCUGGAAUUUUGCUCGAUUCCCUGAUUCUUUAAAUAUUUUCUGCAAGCACCCAGAAUGCAAAUAGCAACAGCCCGACCAGUCUAGCACAGGACUCAUGGAUAAUGGAGAGUUCCUGUUUCUCCUGCUUCUCUGGAAAACUCCAAGUAGACAGUAUUUCAAGAACUCAGCUGGAGACCUGUGAGGGAGGAGUAUAUAUUUAAGUGUUCAUCCCCUCAGUGGAAAGUUACUGAGAUAAACCCUGGGAAGGAGACCAGACAUGGCACGUAAUGCCAUGGGAACAUGAUGGACUCAUCUUGUGGUUUCCUGAAAAUAUCUGGUGUUAAUUCAACCCCUGUCUGAUUACUGAGGACCGGUAGCCUUCCUUCCUGCACCUGCCAUGUCUUUGAGGUUCAAGGACAUUCACUACCUUGGAUAGCAAUUUGGCUGGAAGAGGAGAGGCCCCAACAUUCCUUGAAGGACCAUACUAUGGAAGUACAGGGGGCAGAACAGUCCCUGAAAUUACUGGUGAUACUGCUCCUCUCUUGCCAGCUCAUGCUCUCCACCAGCCCCCAUUGUCUUGCAGGGUAAGGGCAGAGCUUUGGGCGGAAAGAGCCAGGGCUCAGGUUUCUGAGACUAGGUAUUCCCAUCAGUCAGGUGACAGAGGCAUCUGUCCAGUACCAAGCUGUCACCCACCCCAUACAGCCAGGGCAGCCAACCAGGGGAAUCUCAUUCUUCUAUCCUUGGAGGGUUAGAGGGAACUGGAGCCCAUAGCUUUCAUCCCGGGACACAAAAGGUAGCCAUGAUGGAGUUAAAAGGUCAAGAAAAAGAAGGGUUGACUCCCAGGGACCUGCUGUUCUCCAGCUGCUGUCUGCUGCAAGCUGGGGUCCCAGCCAUAUCUUCUUGUGAGUUUCUCCUUCCCUCAGGUGGAGAUCCUGCCCUUGAAACUCGAGAGUAACCCAGUGAUCCUAAUUGACUGUCUACUGUGUAGGUGUUCCCUGCUUGUUUAUAUUGUUCUGUUACUUGUUCCUCCCCCGACUCCUUUGUAGUUUACAGAUAGUGUGGACAGUGGAAAGGCACACACAUGGCCACAUACACCUCUGCUCACUCUCUGAAGCAAGAACAGACCUUAGCUCCUCAUAAGAUGCCAGGAAAUUAGAGCCUCCAGCAUCAACUGGGCAAGCCCGUGUUUAAAGUGGUAGGAUCUAAAUCAAGUGCAAGAGCUGAUGAUUUUGUUGUUUCUAACAUGACUUUGACAGAUGCUGGGAGCCAGCAGAACAAAAAUUCAUCCCUAUACAAGGAGCAUUGAGAGAGAGAAAGAGGAAAUAGAAAAUCAAAUAGGACUUAUCAUUUCAGCGGAAUUUCUGAAGACGGGUUGUGUAACAGUUUCCUCCUGGAUAAAGAAUUUUAUCCUUCAGGGAAGUUCCUUAAACAGAAAGGUAAACAGCCAACAUUAGCUCUAGGAAGUCCCUGAAACUGAUCAGAUUCACUAGGCCAUCUGGUAGAGAAAGUUCCUCUCAGACCUAAAGAAGCUGAGUUAUAAUUAAGACUGCGAGACAACGCAAGCCGAAAAGACCAGCUCCCUUGAAGAAGCAGAGACCAGCCGAGCUGCCUGGAUGAGGCUCAGACCAACUGAGGCGCCUGGAAAGCACACACAGCAACCUGCAGACUGUGCAGUGUGCUUCGGAGUCCCAGCUUUAUGAGCCAUCACCAGUGCUGGGGUUGGGCCUUGGUGAUGCAGCUGUCUUUGAGUCAUUUCUGCCCCUAUAAGUAACCCCUCACCCAUACUCCUGUAACUAACCCCAGUAAAACUCAUUUCUUU